GAAGGUAUAGCUCAGUGGUAGAGGGCAUGCCUAGCAUGCACGAGGUCCUGGGUUCAAUCCCCAGUACCUCCA
rnacentral:tRNA from 1 species